UACGUAGGUGGCAAGCGUUAUCCAGAUUUAUUGGGCGUAAAGGGAACGCAGGCGGUCUUUUAAGUCUGAUGUGAAAGCCUUCGGCUUAACCGGAGUAGUGCAUUGGAAACUGGGAGACUUGAGUGCAGAAGAGGAGAGUGGAACUCCAUGUGUAGCGGUGAAGUGCGUAGAUAUAUGGAAGAACACCUGUGGCGAAAGCGGCUCUCUGGUCUGUAACUGACGCUGAGGUUCGAAAGCGUGGGUAGCAAACAGG
rnacentral:rRNA from 1 species